rnacentral:rRNA from 1 species
AUUGAACGCUGGCGGCAGGCCUAACACAUGCAAGUCGAACGAGUGGCGGACGGGUGAGUAAUGUCUGGGAAACUGCCUGAUGGAGGGGGAUAACUACUGGAAACGGUCUCUAAUACCGCAUACCAUCAGAUGUGCCCAGAUGGGAUGAGCUUGUUGGUGGGGUAACGGCUCACAAAGGCGACGAUACCUAGCUGGUCUGAGAGGCUGACCAGCCAAAUGGGAACUGAGACACGGUCCAGACGCCUAGGGGAGGCAGCAGUGGGGAAUAUUGGACAAUGGGGGCAAGCCUGAUGCAGCCAUGCCGCGUGUAUGAAGAAGGCCUUCGGGUUGAAAAGUACUUUCAGCGGGGAGGCGUUACCCGCAGAAGAAGCAACGGCUAACUCCGUGCCAGCAGCCGCGGUAAUAC